CCUACGGGCGGCAGCAGUGAGGAAUAUUGGUCAAUGGGCGAGAGCCUGAACCAGCCAAGUAGCGUGCAGGAUGACGGCCCUAUGGGUUGUAAACUGCUUUUAUGUGGGGAUAAAGUGAGCUACGUGUAGUUUAUUGCAGGUACCACAUGAAUAAGGACCGGCUAAUUCCGUGCCAGCAGCCGCGGUAAUACGGAAGGUCCAGGCGUUAUCCGGAUUUAUUGGGUUUAAAGGGAGCGUAGGCCGUGGAUUAAGCGUGUUGUGAAAUGUAGACGCUCAACGUCUGAAUUGCAGCGCGAACUGGUUCACUUGAGUAUGCACAACGUAGGCGGAAUUCGUCGUGUAGCGGUGAAAUGCUUAGAUAUGACGAAGAACUCCGAUUGCGAAGGCAGCUUACGGGAGCACAACUGACGCUGAAGCUCGAAGGUGCGGGUAUCAAACAGGAUUAGAUACCCGAGUAGUC
rnacentral:rRNA from 1 species